CCUUAGGCCCUUUUCAGGGCCACCAUGACUCAAGCUACUAUCUGG
rfam:Operophtera brumata OBRT01_Sc11040, whole genome shotgun sequence.